UCCUGUCAGAGCGGUGCGCCCAACCAAAAUGUCCUUUGAACUUUUUUUGCACAUUGUUCCUUAUACUUGACACACACCUUGGAAAGAAAUUCACUGUGGCCCGUUUGAAGUAGGGAACUUUUGGAAAAUUUCAUAUUGUAACAUGGUUAUAAUGACCAUGUCGGAAGACAAUAACAGCAAAUUCACUGGUUGACUUUGUUUGUUUUUGAACACACCUUAUAUGACAUAUAUAUAUAUGUAUACAGUUUGCAUUAUCCAGAUUCAGACUGACCCAUUGCGCCAUUGCACUAUUGGUAUUUGUGGGGAAAAAAAUAGUUGUUCUGUUGGUUGUGAUGUUGCUCUGUAGUGCCUGAGAGCAAAGGAAAACCGUUUGCUCUCAAGGAAGUUAAAUUCCUUGUUUGUAUGCAUAAAUUUGGCCAAUAAAACUGAUUGUGAUUGAAGUCUUUAAUGCAUAAAGCCAUGGAGUCAGACUGAAAGCGAACCCCUGGCAAUUUGUGAUCAUUUCAAAACACCUGUCCUGUGUUGGACCCCCAUUCAGACGUUACUGCUCCUUUAUGAGGGCAGUCACCGCAGGUCCUUCCUAUCACGUCACACAUUAGUCCCGUCCAAUCAGUUUGAGCCGCGCCAAAAAUCAGUCGCACCUGUUGCCCAUGCGCUAAUCAAACAUCAUGUGACCGGAGAGGAGAGGGCUCAGCCAAUAGCAUGGCAGAAUUUUAUGUCAGGUGCGGCUUAUAAGGCGUCGGGGUGACGCCGGUUCGAGUCCCCAGCUACGGGAUACCUCGGUAAGUUUUUGCGUCGUCCAAGCUCUUUUUCUGCGAAAGCUAUGGCUGAGAGCAGAGAGACGAUUCGGGCCUAGUGGAGCUGGAACUUCGGCGUCGGUCCGAGACAGGCGGUUCACGUGUCCGGAGCAAUCCAGAGGAAAAAUAGCCGGCGUGGCGUUCAGGACGGUCGAAGGGAUUCAGCGGAGCAGCCGAGACCAUUUGGGAGAAUCCACCGCGCUUGACUUCGCUCAUCGGCUCUACACUUAAGUCUGUGUGUGUGUCUGUGAGAGAAAGAGAGAGAGAUAUGAGUGUUGGAGGUGCAGGCUGGUGUCUUUAGCUCGGUAGAGAUGGACUUUGUAUCCAGUUGGCUAUAGCCGCUUUGGAGUUUGGGACUGGUUUAUUUGUGGAUGGAUUCAGUGUGUGGAAGGCACUCUGGCCUGCAUAGAUUUGGAGCUUGUGUUUGCUAUUGCUGGGCCGCUGUGUAUAUGUAUCUUAUGUCUACAUAACUAUACACUGCUGCCCAACUGUACAUAUCACCAUUAGAGAACCAUGGCUCUAACUAUCUAUUUUAAAUAUACACCUGAUGCGUUGUAUUUCUACAACAUUGUGUAUAUAGAUAGAUAAGAUAUAUUUCCACUUUGUUUUUGUAUUUUGUUGCACUGUAUUUUGUAGAGUUGCUAAGUGCUGUGAGUUAGCUGUCAACUUGUCCUUUCUUUUCUUUUUGUGACUUUUUUUUUUGCGCUACUGUAAUAUAAUUUCCCUCUGAGGGACGGAUAACGUAUAUCUAGCUAUCUAUCUUGGUAGGCCCCUUGCUGCAUGUUGAAUUGUAAGAUGUUUUAACUUCCAGAGUUUGACUUUCCUAAAACCUAUGGCUAAUGUUGAGCUGUGCUAAUGUUGAGCUGUGUGGCUAGGUGUUUAAGUGCUGCACUUAGGGAGUCUGUGUGUGAGUCUGUGUGUGGCUGCGUUUAGCAGGUUGAAGACUGACAUGAAGGUUGUGGAGGAGUAUUGUGUAGGAUGAAGCAGCUGAUCAAGAGGACCAUGAGAGACAAGUUCAGGAAGUGUUGGAUCAGAGGCAGUUGGUGUGGGUCCUGGGCCAUGAAGAGGAAG